rnacentral:rRNA from 1 species
CAAUAGCGUAUAUUAAAGUUGUUGCAGUUAAAAAGCUCGUAGUCGGAUAUCUGCUAUUGGCAGGGGGACAUCUUCGCUGAUUGUCACUUGUUUGCUGUGGCAUACAUUCGUUGGUCGUGUGCUUGAGUGCGCAUGACAAUUGGAUCAUUUACUUUAACUAUAAACUAGAGUGUUUCAAGCAAGUGCCUGCUAUGAAUACUGCAGCAUGGAAUAAUAAAAUAGGACAUUGGUUCAAUUUUGUUGGUUUCGAGACCCAAUGUAAUGAUUAAUAGGAACAGUUGGGGGCAUUCGUAUUCAACAGCUAGAGGUGAAAUUCUUAGAUUUGUUGAAGACGAACUACAGCGAAAGCAUUUGCCAAGGAUGUUUNCAUUGA